CUGAGACACGGCCCAGACUCCUACGGGAGGCAGCAGUGGGGAAUAUUGCACAAUGGGGGGAAGCCUGAUGCAGAGACGCCGCGUGAGGGAUGACGGCCUUCGAGUUGUAAACCUCUUUCAGCAGGGAAGAAGCGAGCGUGACGGUACCUGCAGAAGAAGCGCCGGCUAACUACGUGCCAGCAGCCGCGGUAAUACGUAAGGCGCAAGCGUUGUCCCGGAAUUAUUGGGCGUAAAGAGCUCGUAGGCGGCUUGUCGCCGUCGGUUGUGAAAGCCCCGGGGCUUAACCCCGGGUCUGCAGUCGAUACGGGCAGGCUAGAGUUCGGUAGGGGAGAUCGGAAUUCCUGGUGUAGCGGUGAAAUGCGCAGAUAUCAGGAGGAACACCCGGUGGCGAAGGCGGAUCUCUGGGCCGAUACUGACGCUGAGGAGCGAAAGCGUGGGGAGCGAACAGGAUUAGAUACCCUGGUAGUCCACGCCGUAAACGGUGGGCACUAGGUGUGGGCAACAUUCCACGUUGUCCGUGCCGCAGCUAACGCAUUAAGUGCCCCGCCUGGGGAGUACGGCCGCAAGGCUAAAACUCAAAGGAAUUGACGGGGGCCCGCACAAGCGGCGGAGCAUGUGGCUUAAUUCGACGCAACGCGAAGAACCUUACCAAGGCUUGACAUACACCGGAAAACCCUGGAGACAGGGUCCCCCUUGUGGUCGGUGUACAGGUGGUGCAUGGCUGUCGUCAGCUCGUGUCGUGAGAUGUUGGGUUAAGUCCCGCAACGAGCGCAACCCUUGUCCCGUGUUGCCAGCAGGCCCUUGUGGUGCUGGGGACUCACGGGAGAUCGCCGGGGUCAACUCGGAGGAAGGUGGGGACGACGUCAAGUCAUCAUGCCCCUUAUGUCUUGGGCUGCACACGUGCUACAAUGGCCGGUACAAUGAGCUGCGAUACCGCGAGGUGGAGCGAAUCUCAAAAAGCCGGUCUCAGUUCGGAUUGGGGUCUGCAACUCGACCCCAUGAAGUAGGAGUCGCUAGUAAUCGCAGAUCAGCAUUGCUGCGGUGAAUACGUUCCCGGGCCUGUUCACACCGCCCGUCACGUCACGAAAGUCGGUAACACCCGAAGCCGGCGGGCCCAACCCCUUGUGGGAGGGAGCUGUCGAAGGUGGGACUGG
rnacentral:rRNA from 1 species